rnacentral:rRNA from 1 species
UACGUAGGGUGCAAGCGUUGUCCGGAAUUAUUGGGCGUAAAGAGCUCGUAGGCGGUCUGUCGCGUCGGAUGUGAAAAUCCAGGGCUCAACCCUGGACCUGCAUUCGAUACGGGCAGACUAGAGUUCGGCAGGGGAGACUGGAAUUCCUGGUGUAGCGGUGAAAUGCGUAGAUAUUGGGAAGAACACCGGUGGCGAAGGCGGCUACCUGGACCGGUACUGACGCUGAGGCGCGAAAGCCAGGGGAGCGAAUGGG